rnacentral:rRNA from 1 species
ACUCUUGGCAACAGAUAUCUCAGCUCUUGUUACGAUGAAGAAUGUAGCAAAAUGCGAUACUUAGUGUGAAUUGCAGAAUCCUGUGAAUCAUUGAGUUUUUGAAUGCAAUUUGCGCCCAAGGCCUCGGUCGAGGGCAUGUCUGUCUGGCCAUCGCAUCCCAUUCAAAUGUGCUCCCUAUAAUAUGCUAGGGAGUAGUGGAGCUGGUCAUUUGUGCCCAAUGUGGUGCGAUUGGCUGAAAUACCUCAAGCGAUGUUUUGUGGCAUGCGUCGAUGAGCGGUGAUCUUGUCCCCUUGGAUGGGCAAUCAACAUUAGAUGAUGCGGGCUUUUUCUAGCAUCGCUCAAACUUUAUUUGCUCUCUCUUGUACUCCCAUUAGGUAGGGUAGAUUUAGCUCCAACUUUGCGACCUUAGCUUAGGUGAGAACACCCGGUGAGUUUAAGCAUAUAAUUAAGUGGAGGAAAAGAAACUUACAAGGAUUCCCCUAGUAGCGGCGAGCGAACCAGGAGGAGCCCAACAUGAAAAUCGGGUGGCAGCGUCGCCUGAAUUGUAGUCUGUAAAAGCAUCCUCAGCGACGGACCUGGGCCAAGUCCCAUGGAAGGGGGCACCUGAGAGGUUGAUAGCCCCAUCGGCCCGGGACCCUGCCGCAUCACGAGGCAUUGUCCACGAGUCGGGUUGUUUGGGAUGUAGCCCUAAUUGGGUGGAAAAUUUCGUCCAAGUCUAAAUACGGGCGAGAGACCGAUAGCGAACAAGUAACACAAGGGAAAGAUGAAAAGGACUUUGAAAAGAGAGUUCAAGAGUGUUUGAAAUUGCCAGGAGGGAAGCAUAUGGAGGCUGUUGAUGCGUCUCGGUCAGAUGUGGAACAGCUUAGGCUGGUCUGCCACUCGACUUCGGGAAAAGGAUCCGUAACUUCGGGAAAAGGAUUGGCUCUGAGGGCUGGGCCUAGGGGUCUAUGCCCUCAACUGGUGGGUUGUCGGCAGUCUGCCAAGCUACUCUGAUGGCAAGGGCGGGCAGUCGAAUGCCGAUUGGGCUACGGGCAUAGAAUGCCCCCUGCCGGGGGCUUUUCCUUAGGCAUCGAACAAUCAACUCAAAACUAGUACAGAAAAGGGGAAUCCAACUGUUUAAUUAAAACAAAGGAUUGCGAUGGUCCCUGCAGAUGCAGACGCAAUGUGAUUUUUGUUGAAUGCUUUGAAUGUCAAAGUGAAGAAAUUCAACCAAGCAUGGGUAAACGGCGGGAGUAACUAUGACUCUAUUAAGGUAGCCAAAUGCCUUGUCAUCUAAUUAGUGACGUGCAUGAAUGGAUUAACGAGAUUCCCACCAUCCCUAUCUACUAUCUAGUGAAACCAUAGCUAGGGGAAUGGGCUUGGCAGAAUCAGUGGGGAAAGAAGACCUUAUUGAGCUUGACUCUAGUCUAACUUUGUGAAAUGACUUGAAAGGUGUAGAAUAAGUGGGAGUUGUUUUCGGCGCAAGUGAAAUACCACUACUUUUAAUGUUAUUUUACUUAUUCCAUGGGGCAGAGAUGGGGCACUGCCCCUGUUUUUGGCCUUAAGGCAUGUUUCGGCGGGUCGAUCCGGGAAGAAGACAUUUUUAGGUGGGAAGUUUGGCUGGGGUGGAACAUCUGUUAAAAGAUAACACAUGUGUCCUAAGAUGAGCUCAACGAGAACAUAAAUCUCAUGUGGAACAAAAUACUAAAAGGUCAUUUGAUUUUGAUUUUUAGUACAAAUACAAAACUUAAAAGCUUGGCCUAUCGAUCCUUUAGAUUUUCGAAAUUUGAAGCUAGAGGUGUCAGAAAAGUUACCAUAGGGAUAACUGGCUUGUGGCAGCCAAGCGUUCAUAGCGACGUUGAUUUUUGAUCCUUAGAUGUCAGCUCUUCCUAUCAUUGUGAAGCAGAACUCACCAAGUGUUGGAUUGUUCACCCACCAAUAGAGAAUGUGGGCUAGGUUUAGAGCGUCGUGAGACAUGUUAGCUUUACCCUACUAAUGAACUGCACUAUAAUAGUAAUUCAAAUUAGUACAAGAGGAACCAUAGAUUCACACAAUUGGUCACCGCGCUUGGUUGAAAAGCUAAUGGUGCGAAGCUACAGUGUGUCAGAUUAUGACUGAAUGCCUCUAAGUCAGAAUCCAUACUAGAAGCGGUGCAUGUCACUCUUCGACUAUAUCUCGACCCGUAGUAGGGGCAUUGCUUUGUCGCCCCCAGGGGACCAUGUCAUUUGUAAACCGCGACCGUGAAGCAUCUCAGUUGGGGCAGCUUUGAUGUUCAAUUCCAAACGGUCGUUGAGAAGAAUCCUUUACAGAUUACUUAAAUACGUGACGGGGUAUUGUAAGUGGCAGAGUGGCCUUGCUGCCAUGAUCCACUACGAUUCAGCCCUUGGUCACCUCGAUUCAGAGCUUCGCUCUU